rnacentral:rRNA from 1 species
UACAGAGGGUGCAAGCGUUGUUCGGAAUUACUGGGCGUAAAGCGCGCGCAGGCGGAUCCUGCAAGUCAGAAGUGAAAUCUCACUGCUCAACGGUGAGGCUGCUUUUGAUACUGCGGAUCUGGAGACCGGUAGAGGCUGGUGGAAUUGCAGGUGUAGCGGUGGAAUGCGUAGAGAUCUGCAAGAAUACCCGUGGCGAAGGCGGCCAGCUGGGCCGGUAUUGACGCUGAGGCGCGAAAGCCAGGGGAGCAAACGGG